rnacentral:rRNA from 1 species
GUCCACGCCGUAAACGAUGUCUACUAGCCGUUGGGACUCUUGAAGUCUUAGUGGCGCAGCUAACGCACUAAGUAGACCGCCUGGGGAGUACGGCCGCAAGGUUAAAACUCAAAUGAAUUGACGGGGGCCCGCACAAGCGGUGGAGCAUGUGGUUUAAUUCGACGCAACGCGAAGAACCUUACCUGGUCUUGACAUCCUCAGAACUUUCCAGAGAUGGAUUGGUGCCUUCGGGAACUGAGUGAC